rnacentral:rRNA from 1 species
UACGUAGGGACCAAGCGUUGUUCGGAUUUACUGGGCGUAAGGGGCGCGUAGGCGGCUUAACAAGUCACUUGUGAAAUCUCCGGGCUUAACUCGGAACGGCCAAGUGAAACUGUUAUGCUAGAGUGCAGAAGGGGCAAUCGGAAUUCUUGGUGUAGCGGUGAAAUGCGUAGAUAUCAAGAGGAACACCUGAGGUGAAGACGGGUUGCUGGGCUGACACUGACGCUGAUGCGCGAAAGCCAGGGGAGCAAACGGG